UGAUCCUAAUACCCGUGUGUAUUAUUACACACAUUUUAUGUAAUAUUGCAUUGAAAGAUAAUGCUAUAUUAAAUCUGGCUGCACUUCUCAAUCUGAGCUCCAUAUGGCAGUCCGACAGACGUGCAGGCAGGUGCCAUUUUGAAAUUGCUCUAGCACUUCGCAAAGUUUUAUGUUUGACAAAAACGCAAUUACUGCAAAUUCUACCAGCUAUUUGCCUGAAAAAAAGGAUGAUAGUGGAAUAUUUAUGGAUCUGGUACCGUAUAAGUUGAUUUUGUAGUUCCGUAUGACGGAACGACUAUGGAAAAGAGGGAACAAGUAGAACUGCAGUCUGAAAUCAACUGCGGCUUGCGGUUGGAUUUACGCAAAGCUGCCGGAGGAUUAGAUAUGCCGUAAUGUAACGGGCGUGAGGAAAAGGCCGAUUCCGAUUCCGGAAAAGGCCGGUGAAAGUGUCCGGCCUCGACUGUGCACCCUUGACCCUGCUCCCAAUCAUCGGUCUGUGGCCAUAAGAAGAUUGUAAACACCAGCCUACCCCCGCUUGUUCAACUGUCCUGGCAAGACGAAGCUUAUUUGCCAUAAAGCUCAUUCCAAUAUCAGGAGCUCUUAACAAUUUAAAGCCAUGGAAGACGAUCUGUAAAUCUAUAUGACUGCAACCGUUGCCGGAUGGUAUCAUGCGUUUUUGAAGCAUCAGGAAUGUUUGAUUUCUGGAGGGAAUCAAAAGUUGUUCUUGAUGUAGGUACAACAAUUAAAUAUUGGUCACCGAACGUCAAAUCCAAAUCUACAAACUGGAGGAUUUUACAAGGUGGAUCGAUCAGGCGGAAAACGAUUUACGGGCGCUUCGCAGACUGCUUGGCCGGUGACGUACUACAGCCAUGGACCGUGGAAUGGAUACACCUGUUAUAUAUUGCAGAGGCCACUUCGGCAUCAGGCUGAAUGAUGAAAAAAUAACCACGAAUGGACCCUCUCUGUGUGAAAAGAAGACCUUUGAUGUAAAUAGCAAAACCUUCAGAUCCACUACGCGAUCUAAAGAAAUCUAAUUAAGUUAGGUUUAUCAUAAAUAUUGUUUUUAUAAAUAUAUAUUUACAAUAAAA